UUGAACGCUGGCGGCAUGCUUUACACAUGCAAGUCGAACGGUAACAGGCCGCAAGGUGCUGACGAGUGGCGAACGGGUGAGUAAUGCAUCGGAACGUGCCCAGUCGUGGGGGAUAACGCAGCGAAAGCUGUGCUAAUACCGCAUACGAUCUAAGGAUGAAAGCGGGGGACCGAAAGGCCUCGCGCGAUUGGAGCGGCCGAUGUCAGAUUAGCUAGUUGGUGGGGUAAAGGCCCACCAAGGCAACGAUCUGUAGCUGGUCUGAGAGGACGACCAGCCACACUGGGACUGAGACACGGCCCAGACUCCUACGGGAGGCAGCAGUGGGGAAUUUUGGACAAUGGGGGAAACCCUGAUCCAGCCAUUCCGCGUGAGUGAAGAAGGCCUUCGGGUUGUAAAGCUCUUUCAGGAGGGAAGAAACGGUUACGGAUAAUACCUGUGACUAAUGACGGUACCUUCAGAAGAAGCACCGGCUAACUACGU
rnacentral:rRNA from 1 species